AACUAACAAGGAUUCCCCUAGUAGCGGCGAGCGAAGCGGGAAAAGCUCAAAUUUGUAAUCUGGCGUCUUCGACGUCCGAGUUGUAAUCUCGAGAAGUGUUUUCCGUGAUAGACCGCAUACAAGUCUCUUGGAACAGAGCGUCAUAGUGGUGAGAACCCAGUACACGAUGCGGAUGCCUAUUACUUUGUGAUACACUUUCGAAGAGUCGAGUUGUUUGGGAAUGCAGCUCAAAUUGGGUGGUAAAUUCCAUCUAAAGCUAAAUAUUGGCGAGAGACCGAUAGCGAACAAGUACCGUGAGGGAAAGAUGAAAAGCACUUUGGAAAGAGAGUUAACAGUACGUGAAAUUGUUGGAAGGGAAACACAUGCAGUGAUACUUGCUAUUCGGGGCAACUCGAUUGGCAGGCCCGCAUCAGUUUUACGGGGCGGAAAAGCAUAGAGAGAAGGUAGCAGUUUCGGCUGUGUUAUAGCUCUUUAUUGGAUUCGCCCUGGGGGAUUGAGGAACGCAGCGUG
rnacentral:rRNA from 1 species